AUGAAAGAGGCCCUGUCAUACUGCGAAAACGAUGUUGAAAUUCUAGCUGAGGGCUGUAAAUUGUUUAGAAACGGGUUUAUUGAGGAAACAGGAGUAGACCCUUUCAGCCGCAACACGCUUGCAAGUGCCUGCCUAAAAACUUUUUUAACAAACUUCAUGCCAGCCAAUUCUUUAGCAAUACCAUGUCCCCUAAAUUACCGUAAUCAGGUCAAAUCAUUUUCCUCUGCCUCAAUUCAAUGGCUAGAAUAUCUCUCCUACACGCAAGGUGUUUUUAUCAGACAUGCGCUAAAUCAAGGAGAAAAAAAGCUGGGUAGUUAUUAUGUAGAUGGAUAUGCCCUAAUUAAUAAUAAACCAUAUGUCUGGGAAUUUUUGGGGUGUUACUUUCAUGGGUGUGUCAAGUGUUUUUCAAAUCAGGCCGACAUUAACCCCUUGUUAGACCUAACUUUUGCAGAGCUAAACAGCAGCACUGAAGAAAGACUCGCUAAAUUGAGAACUGAGUAUAAUGUGUGUCUUGUUACAAUCUGGGAGCACGAGUGGACCGAUUUAAAACUUGGUGAUCAGAGUGUGAUCAGGUUUCUCAAACAUUACGAACCGCCAGAACCUUUGAACCCCCCCCAUGCCCUCUUUGGAGGGCGUACAAGCCCUGCACAGCUGCGCUGCAGUGCAGGCCCUGGGGAGAGAAUCGGUUAUGUGGAUGUUACCUCGCUGUAUCCGUUUGUAAAUAGCACCUGUAGUUACCCCUUAGGACAUCCUCAAAUAAUCUUUCGAAAUUUUCAGCACCCUAAAAACUACUUUGGGUUUAUCAAAGCGGUUGUAUACCCACCCAGAGCCCUCUAUUUUCCAGUUUUACCUUUUAAAACUACGUCAGGAAAGCUUAUCUUUACCCUCUGCCGCACCUGUGCUGAAAUGAACAACCAACAGGGGGCGUGUAACCAUAGCAACGAGGAGAGAGCCCUCAAAGGGGUUUGGACCACUGUAGAAUUUAAUCUUGCAUUAGAAAAGGGGUAUCAAAUAAGUAGAAUCACCGAGGUGUGGCACUUUGAGAAACAGAGUAACACAAUAUUCACAGACUAUGUACAUCAUUUCCUGCGCAAAAAACAAGAAGCUUCAGGCUACCCAUCAGAUGUUGUAACUGAGGAGGAUAAACAGCUUUACAUUAAAGACUACCAGGCUAAGCAAGGCAUCACUUUAGACCCUGAAAACAUAAAACUAAACCCAGCUAAAAGACAAAUGGCCAAACUGUGUUUAAACUCUUUUUGGGGAAAAUUUGGCCAGAGAAAUAAUCUCACACAGAGCAAACUGGUGAGUGACCCCGAGGAAUUCUUUAAUCUGAUGUUUUCUCCAAAAUACAAAGUGACCUAUUUCACUUUUGUCAGCGACGAUGUAGCGCUUAUUCAAUGGUGUUAUGGCGAUCUAUGUACCCCAUUGCCAAACUCCACAGAUAACAUCUUCAUUGCGGCCUUCACUACUUCAUAUGGGCGUAUGAAACUCUACAGUUAUUUGGAUCAGUUGCAGGAGAGAGCAAUUUACUACGAUACUGACAGUGUUGUUUAUCUCACCAAACAAAAUCAAUCUGAACUAGAAUUAGGUAGAUAUUUGGGUGACCUGACCAAUGAACUAGAGCAGGAUGAUUUCAUUACAGAGUUUGUUGCAGCUGGACCCAAAAGCUAUGGCUAUAUGACCAAAAAAGGUAAAGUUGUCUUGAAAGCAAAAGGGAUCACACAAACACACGAUGUCUGCGAAAGGGUCAACUUUGAAUCUGUGAAAAACCUGGCUGACAAUUACAUUGAUAACAGUGAAGGAGGGUCUACACUUGAGGCACCACAACACACUAUCCUUCGUAAUAAAGCUGGGUUUGCACUGAAAAAUUCAUCAUUCCCCAAAAAAUUCCGGGUUGUUUAUGACAAGCGUAGAUUGCUGCCAGGAGGUCUGACUUUGCCCUUUGGUUAUUGA
rnacentral:lncRNA from 1 species